UCCUACGGGUGGCAGCAGUGGGGAAUAUUGGACAAUGGGCGAAAGCCUGAUCCAGCAAUGCCGCGUGUGUGAAGAAGGCCUGCGGGUUGUAAAGCACUUUUGUUCGGGAAGAAAACGCGCUGACUAAUACUUAGCGUGGAUGACGGUACCGAAAGAAUAAGCACCGGCUAACUUCGUGCCAGCAGCCGCGGUAAUACGAAGGGUGCAAGCGUUAAUCGGAAUUACUGGGCGUAAAGGGUGCGUAGGCGGCUCUUUAAGUCGGAUGUGAAAUCCCCGGGCUCAACCUGGGAAUGGCAUCCGAUACUGGGGAGCUGGAGUUUGGGCGAGGGUGGUGGAAUUCCCGGUGUAGCGGUGAAAUGCGUAGAGAUCGGGAGGAACAUCAGUGGCGAAGGCGGCCACCUGGCCUAAAACUGACGCUGAAGCACGAAAGCGUGGGGAGCAAACAGGAUUAGAUACCCCUGUAGUC
rnacentral:rRNA from 1 species